UAUAUAUAUAUAUAUAUAUAUAUAUAUAUGCAUAUUUACAUACACCUACAUAUAUCUAUGUAUAUAAAUGUGUAUGUGUAUAUGCAUGUAUAUGUGUGUAUAUAUCUUUAUAUUUAUAUUUAUGUGCGUGUACAUCUUGUUUGUGUAUGUGAAUAUAUAAAUAUAUUUACACACACACACACACACACGCAUAUAUAUAUAUACAUCCACAUCUGUGUGUCAAUAUCUUCAUUACAUGGUCCCUUUUUUCAUUAAGUUCAUUGUAGGACAAUGGAGGUGGCACACAUGGCAAGACAGCAGCCGGGUCAGAUACUAUAAUUAUCAUCAUCAUUAUUAUUAUUAUUAUUACUAUCAUUAUAUAUCUACUUCCAGUGCCUGACAGCAGUCCUGGGGUUGUUAAUUUAUUCAUUUUUUUUUGUAUUUUCUUUAAAAAAAAACAAAGAAACAAAAAGAAAGGCUCACUUACUUUUCUCAACUUUCACUUCCGUCUGUCUUGUCUAAUCCAGUCUAAUCUAUCCAUCUCUCUCUUUCUCUCUCUGUUUGUCCUUCUCUCAUUGAAAUCCCGCCGGGGUCGACUUUGCCUUUCAUCCCCCCUCCCGGGUGGGGGAAGGGAGGAAAGGGGAGGUUACUGAUUGAAAGAAAGUAAAAAAAAAAAAAGAAAAGGGAAACAAAAGAAAAACAAGAAACGAAAAUGAAACAAAAAUACAAAACGGAAAAAAACAAUACCAGUAAUUUAUAAAUACAUAUCUCAUAUAUAUGUAUCUCUCUUUCUCUACUUAUGUGUCUGUGUUUGUGUACACAUGUACAUACAUACAUACACACUCGCAUAUGUAUACUCACAAACAUACAAAUCACACACAAGAAUCUAUUCAAGUGACUAUAUCUGCCCACCCUUUCCAACCCUUGUUACGAAAUCGGCCUUGUUCCUAGUCCAAAGAUAUCAUUGUCAUCAUUACUAUUAUGAUUAUUAUUAAUGAUUAUUAUUAUUAUUAUUAUUAUUAUUAUUAUUCUUAUCAUCAUUAUUAUUAUUAUCAUUAUUAAUAUUAUCAUUAUUAUUACUAUGAUUAGCUGUAGUAGUAGUACACUUUACUUCAAAACAUCAAAAAAAAAAAAGAAAGAAAAAAUAAUUAAAAAAAAAAAGACAAAACCCCAAACCAACCAUGUGUUAUUGAAUACAGAUCUUAAUAAAGUGUCCUGUUGCAAAGUCAGCCUCUGCCUUUAUAUCUGUCUCUUCUCUCUCACUCUAGUUUACUGUGUGUGUGUGUGUGUAUGUGUGUCUCUGUCUCUCUCUCUCUCUCUCAUAUUCUCAAAUAUUUCCAUUAUGUGUAAAGCAAAUAAAAAUGAAAAGUUUUGGUAAGUCACCUAAAGUCCCACUGUAUCUGUCUGUCUGUCUCUCUUGUUUGUUUGUUGUUUGUUGUUUUGUUCUGUGCAUGAAACUUUGUCACUGGCUGAAGAACGAAUGAUGAUAUGUGCAGUUACCGAGCUAACAUGGUGUGGUCAGGUGAGACGAAAAAAAAAAAAAACAUGAAGCAUUUUUUUGAAAAAUUAAUUUUGUCCCUACCCCUUCUCUCCACCUCAAAAUUUGAAUGAAUAAAAAAUGUAUUGGUGCUUGUGGAGAAUCUGAUGAUUGAGUUUCAAUCCCAGGCAGAGGUAAUUAUAUAUAUAUAGUCACAUAGAACCACACUCUCAUGCACCCAUGUCGAUGUGGGACUGCUUUGUACAUGUCAUAUAUAUAUGUAUGUGUGUAUGUAUGUAUGCAUGGACAUUAUGUAUGUGUCUGUGUGCAUGUGCGUAUGUAUGUAUAUGUGUAUACUCACACAACAUCAUCAUUAUUUAAUGUCUGUUUUCCAUGCUGGUAUGGGUUGGGUAGCAUGACAGGAACUGGCAAGGCCAGGGGCCACACCAGAUUCCAUAGUCUGCUUUUAGCUUGGUUUUGAUAGUUGGAUACCCUUCCUAAUACCAACCACUUUACAGAUUGUACUGGGUGCCUUUUACAUGGCACCAUCAGCAGUUCCUUUUUAUGUGACACCACCACUUUUUGCACACGCAUACAUUGAGACCCCCCCUCCACACACACACACACACAUCAUUGUUUUAACAUCUACUUUCCUAUGCUUGCAUAACUCAGUCUUAUCACUUGCCACUCAACACACAACUACCAUCAGCUACUACUACUACUACUAUUACACUCUUGUACAUUCUCUUCAUUACCUACUCACUCCAUAUUCUUGCACACACUGAAAAAUCUAUUCCCACCCUCUGUUCACAUUCUUCUACAUCAAAGGCAUGUCUGACACUUCAUCUCCACCACCUUUACCUUUCUUUCCAGCUCCAUCUCAACUACUCCAAGUCAGUUGAGAGGGAAUUCUGUAGCCGUAUGAGAGAUGUGGCUACCUCAGUAGUGCUGGGGCCACGAAAAAGCAUGCAGUAUGCUCUACUAAGUGGUUGGCAUUAGAUGGGAUAUUGAGCCAUUGGGAAAAUUGAAGCAUCACAUAAUCCUCUGCCUAAUCAGAUCCCUUCAAACCGUCCAAUGCAUUGCAGCAUGAAAAACAGUUAUUUGAUGAUGACAAUGAUGGCUCAUCUUUGGCUGCCAUCGUUGUAAUAGUAAAUAAAUUCUAUACCAAUAAAGCACUACUUCAGUACAGUGGCUUUUGACCUUGUUCCAGUAUGAGAUAUUAUCACAAAUAACAAUAACUAAAAUUCAUAAAUCGACAUGGAGGUAUGUUCUAAUUGAAGAAAUAACGGCAGUGUUCAGAUUAUGAUGUUGCCGAAGUGACUUUUGACUUGUAGAGACAAGGGAGAUAAUUUGUGAUCGCCUUCUCAACAUGUUCUUUAACUUCAUCUGAGCAUCAUUGACUAAGGCCAUGCUGGGGCAUCACCUCAUGAAACAACUUUCCAUUUCUCUAACGCAGCUCUUGAAAAUUUUGGCUGUAGGCUCUUUUUUUUUUUUUUUUCCUGAUUUUUUUUUUUUUUUCUCUGUGAAAAUUUUUUUCUAAAAAUCAAUUUUGUAAUUAUAUCUACAUUGGCAGAGAAGAGUGUGAUAGAAUGUAUAGGGACGAAGACUACAAAAGAAGAUCAAAUAUAUAUGAAUGGUUACAACUACCAUUCUUAAUUCAAGACUCAUAAGCACAUUAUUUAACUUUAUUUCUAGAAGUUCUAUCAUCGUCAUCACCAUUUAACGUCCGUUUUCUGUGCAGGUAUGCAUUGGAUCAUUCGACUAGAUUUGAUUUUUCUGAUGCAUUCUAUGAGAGGAGGUGCGUGGCUUAGUGGUUAGAGGUGUCAGGCUCAUGAUCGUAGGAUACUGAUUUCAAUUCCUGGACCUGGUGAUGUGUUGUGUUCUUUAGCAGAACACUUUAUUUCCCCUUGCUGUGGCGCAUUCAGCUGGUAAAAAUAAGUACUUCUGUUAUGGACUGGCGUCCCAUCUAGGGGAAGGGAAAGAUAUAUGCCUCAGAAAUCAACAAACUGGUCCCAUUAGUGUAUAUGUUUCGGGAAGGUACUUUUAUCCUAUAUUUUGUAUGGGUGGAUAUCCUUCCUAUCAGCAACUCAUUUUACACACUGUAAUAGGUGCUUCUUUUUUUUUUUUUUUUUUUUUUCAUAAUUUCAUGACACCAACACUAAAGAAGUCGGCAACUAACUCACAAGACGAAACCCCUUAACAGAGUUGGUGUGCAGUAUUGAGAGAGGUUGUUGCUUCAUGCUAGGCAUAGAGUAGUUAAAAUAUGAGGGACAGGGAUAGUUACUCCCAUCAGAAAAAGAAAUGUUGGUCAUGAUGAGAUGUCUGGGUGUAGCCUUCAAGGUACAUGACGGUGGAUAGAGAAAGAACAGGGGUAGAAAAUCGACAAAGGUUGGGUGGGUGGUGGGUUCAAGGGAAAGUGACAGACGGUUGAGAUAGGGACAGAUUUGAAAGUAGUGUAUAUCUAGCUGGUAACUUUUGAUCUCGCUUUGCACUUACUUCCUCUGCGUUUUCUUAUCUUUCCUAAUCCCAGUUUCCAAUUGAGAUGCAGGUUAACUUGAAUGCCAGUACUUUGGUUAUUGAGUGAGUGGUCUUAGGCUCAAAUCCAACCUACAAAAUAUUUUAUUAUGAUUCUUUGAUUACUAUAUCUAGUUCUCAUACUUAGGUCAUCUAAAAGCAUGGCUUACACACACACACAUGCAAGCACAAGUGCAUAUUGUGUUGGAACAAAAGUUUGUACUGUUUAUUAAGUAAAACUAGAAAACUAUUUCGAUAUUUGUGCCUACUUUUUGUUCAUCUAUAUUUGUCCCUGUUUGUCCCUCUACUUAUCAUCAAAUUGAAAUGCAGUCCAUAAUUUUUCUUCCUGUUACAUUCUGAGGCAUCUAAACAUUAUAACAAUUCACAUAUUCAAGUGUUUUAAAUUCCUUAUAACACUUAUGAGAUAUGGUGAGUAUCUCUACGAUGUCUUGUGUCGUUUCUGAUUAGUGUUUCUGUUUGGUCAUCAUCAACAAGUUUAGACCUGCCGGAACGCUUACGGUCUUUCAGAUCAACAUUUUCACACCUAAUCCUUAUGAACAGUCCUCUCAGCUAUGGCGCCAUCCCCACAAUCUUUUUUGCCCUUUGUACAGCGAUUUUUUUUUUUUUUUUUUUUUUUUUUUUUCUUCUUCUUCUUCCUUUCCCAAAGCAUACAAGCUUCAGAUAAUGAAAAUGUAUCCCAUUUUCCUCCAUUUGAGUGGAUUUGGUCGACGAAACUGAAAGAAGCCCCAUUAUAUAAAUGUGUAUCGUAUCUCUCUGUGUCUCCUUAUACUACUAUAGCUUCGGUAGCUAUAACGAGCCUCCCUACCACAGAACCAAUGCUAUAAAUCAACUCAUAUGGUGUAUAACACAUAUAUUAUGCGCGCGCAUGUGACAAACGAACGGACACCAAACUGGAUUGCUUGCAACAUUUAGGUUCAUCUGUCACUAGUUCUGAAUUAAAAUAUUACUGGCAACGUCUAAUUAGGAUUAAUAAAAGGCGUACCACACA